rnacentral:rRNA from 1 species
AUUGAACGCUGGCGGCAGGCCUAACACAUGCAAGUCGAGCGGAGCGGCGGACGGGUGAGUAAUGCCUAGGAAUCUGCCUGGUAGUGGGGGAUAACGUCCGGAAACGGGCGAUAAUACCGCAUACUAUCAGAUGAGCCUAGGUCGGAUUAGCUAGUUGGUGGGGUAAAGGUCUACCAAGGCGACGAUCCGUAACUGGUCUGAGAGGAUGAUCAGUCACUCUGGAGCUGAGAGACGGUCCAGACUCCUACGCAAGGCAGGAGAGGGGAAUAUUGGAAAAUGGGCGCAAGCCUGAACCAGCAAGGCCGCGUGUGUGAAGAAGGUCUUCGGAUUGGAAAGCACUUUAAGUUGGGAGGCGUUACCAACAGAAUAACCACCGGCUAACUUCGUGCCAGCAGUCGCGGUAAUAC